CUGGUGCCAGAGGUUGGUGAGGGGAGGAAGCCAAGCCUGGGAGUGAGCUGGCUGGCUGGCUGCUUGUGGGAACACCAGGAGGAAAGAAUGCCCACCGCUGAGGCAAGAGACUGAUUGGUGUGCCUCACACACAAAGCAGGUGGUCCAUAGAGCUUUGUUCCAGUGGAACCGAAUGUUCUUCUUGCUCAUUCUCUCCAGACUACGGGUGAGGAAAACGGGAGUCACAGAGAGACAAACGAGCAAGCCACAUGCCAGGAGCAGACUCAGGAAACCUGUCUCUGAGCGCAGUGGAGGCCAACAGCAAAACCCUAUCUCUCUGAGAUGAGGCGACAUCAGAAGAAAAGUGGAUCCCAUGGCUGCUGUGUCACUAGCCUGUGACUUUGGGUGAAUCACGUCAGCACUCUGGGCCUGUGUUUUGUCAUCAUUCAAAUAGGGCAGUCCUCACAUGUCAUGAGCUGAGCAUGUGAGACUGGAUUUACAUAGUUGAUCUGAGAGCCAAGGCCCUGGCUUGCCACACUGUGGUCCCAACGUUGGGAGGAACGUGAGAAAAUAAAAGGAUGCUUUGGACAGAAGUGGCCAUCUGUGAUUUUCAGCAUAACUCCCAAUGCCUGUCACUGUGCCGACAUUACACAAUUAGAGAUAAAUAUCUGUGGAUACUUGGGGGUCUGGAGUUACCUGUUAAAUGAAAGGGAGAGUGGAGAAGAGUGAGAAGAGUGGAGUCCUGCGAGAGAGGGACCCAGGGCAGAAGACUGGAGAAAGGUGGCAGGCAGGGCUGCAAAGCACAAGG